GAAUUGCGAUAAGUAAUGUGAAUUGCAGAAUUCAGUGAAUCAUCGAAUCUUUGAACGCACCUUGCGCCCUCUGGUAUUCCGGAGGGCAUGCCUGUUCGAGCGUCAUUUCAACCCUCAGAACCCCUUGCGGGAUCUGGCGUUGGGGAUUGGCAUCCAGCCAGCCCCGAAAUCUAGUGGCGGUCCCUCCGCGACCUCCCCUGUGCAGUAGCGAUACCUCGCAGCGGGACAGCGGUCUGACCACGCCGUAAAACCCCCAACUUCUCAAGGUUGACCUCGAAUCAGGUAGGAAUACCCGCUGAACUUAAGC
rnacentral:misc_RNA from 1 species